UACGUAGGGUGCGAGCGUUGCCCGGAUUUAUUGGGCGUAAAGGGCGCGUAGGCGGCCACGCACGUCCGUUGUGAAAUCGCCCGCUCAACUGGCGGGGUCGGCGGAUACGGCGUGGCUGGAGCAAGCUAGGGGGCAAUGGAAUUCCCGGUGUAGUGGUGGAAUGCGUAGAUAUCGGGAGGAACACCAGUGGCGAAGGCGGUUGCCUGGAGCUUUGCUGACGCUGA
rnacentral:rRNA from 1 species